UUAGUAAAUCAUGUUUGUAUUGUGAUUGUCAAUUAAAAUAGAAGUUUAAUUUUCAGGUUCUUAAGCUAACUUUUUUUUUAUCUUGUGGAAGUAAGUUUCAUUCAUUCUUUCUCUCUCUUUCUCUCCCUUCUUCUUCUUCUUCUCCUUUGUUCUUCCCCUUCUAGUCUUCCUACCGGCGUUCGUCUCUACCCUGUUCUCUAGUCACGAAGUAGGCAUCACAGCGGCAAGAUUCCCCCAUUUCUGAUUGGAUUUCCGGUGAUUUAUCACCGUUUAUUUUAUAUCUCAUCUUAUGCUGAAGUUUUUGUCGAUCUUCAUUGGCGUCGUGGUUCCCCAACCAUCCGCCGAUCUCCCCUAUCUUGCGUUUCCUUCACCGAUCGAGCAGAGUUGACUACAGCAAGAAGACUGAAGCUCCCCACUCGAGUUCAAGCAAGACUGUGCUGGAAUCGUCCCAUCUCCUCAUCAAUCUUUCUAAUACAACCUUCAGUCAGUAUCGUCGUCUGAAAGCCAAAUCUGUCCGACAUAAAGGAAUUGGUCCUUCAUUGCAUCGUUUGAACCGGGCUAAAUCCGAUCUGGAUCAGCAAACAGAGCUGCAACGAAUCUGCAGCAGUUUGCGGUAUAUACAGAACUGGCAGUUCACCUAUUCUUGCCCAUAUUUUGGUUUUUGGUCAAAAUAAAUGAAGAUGUAAUUAUUAAUUUACCCAUCUUAUGUUCGUCGCAACUCGCAACACCGCUAUUUUGCGACACGCUUCUUUCGAUAUUUCCACACUCCGUCUAAAGUGUUCAGAGAUUGUAAACUGUUGACACGUGCC